rnacentral:tRNA from 1 species
GGGGCUGUAGCUCAGUGAUAGAGCACUCAUCUAGCAUGUGUGAGGCCCUGGGUUCGAUCCUCAGCACCA